rnacentral:rRNA from 1 species
AUUGAACGCUGGCGGCAUGCCUUACACAUGCAAGUCGAACGGUAACGGGCCUUCGGGUGCCGACGAGUGGCGAACGGGUGAGUAAUGUAUCGGAACGUACCUUUCAGUGGGGGAUAACGUAGCGAAAGUUACGCUAAUACCGCAUAUUCUGUGAGCAGGAAAGCAGGGGAUCGCAAGACCUUGCGCUGAUUGAGCGGCCUGUAUCAGAUUAGCUAGUUGGUGGGGUAAAGGCUCAACAAGGCGACGCCCUGUAGCGGGUCUGAGAGGAUGAUUCGCCACACUGGAACUGAGACACGGUCCAGACUCCUACGGGAGGCAGCAGUGGGGAAUUUUGGACAAUGGGGGCAACCCUGAUCCAGCCAUGCCGCGUGAGUGAAGAAGGCCUUCGGGUUGUAAAGCUCUUUCGGCCGGGAAGAAAUCGUAUCAGCUAAUACCUGGUGCGGAUGACGGUACCGGCAUAAGAAGCACCGGCUAACUACGUGCCAGCCGCCGCAGUAACAC